CGCAGAGCCGGCCAUGGGCAAGUCAGCUUCCAAAGAGUUUAAUAAUGAAGUCCUAAAGGCCCACAAUGAGUACCGGCGGCAGCAUGGAGUCCCCCCACUGAAGCUCUCCAAGAAGCUCAACCGAGAGGCUCAGCAGUAUUCAGAGGCCCUGGCCAGCACAAGGAUCCUCAAACACAGCCCAGAGUCGAGUCGUGGCCAGUGUGGGGAGAAUCUAGCAUGGACAUCCUAUGAUCAGACAGGACAGGAGGUGGCUGAUAGAUGGUAUGGUGAAAUCAAGAACUACAACUUCCAGCAGCCUGGCUUUACCUCUGGGGCUGGACACUUCACUGCCAUGGUGUGGAAGAACACCAAGACUAUGGGAGUGGGGAAGGCAUCUGCAAGUGAUGGGUCCUCCUUCGUGGUGGCCAGAUACUUCCCAGCAAGGAACAUUGUCAACCAGGGCUACUUUGAAGAAAAUGUCCUGCCUCCAAAGAAGUAAUUUGUCCAAUGGAAUGGGAAAGUGGGAGACAUAGGAAUGCAGCUAUUAAGUGCCUAGAACAAUGAAAAAAAAACACAAAACAAGCCAGCUGCGAGUCUGUC